ACUGUUUCUUUGAGAAACCCUAAUUGUGUCAUACGCUGCUGUUCAGCUCUAAAGAAAGUUUCAUGCUGUUCCUCUAACUGAGAAUGCAGUUUUUUAAGUUUUCCACUUAAAUGCUCACAUCGAUCAUCCCUUCUUCUUAUUUUAUCCACUGAACGAGAAACUUCAUCUUCCAAUUCGGCGUUACGGGCUUGUACGCUUGUUAAUACAUCUUGCAAUGAUUCAACCGUAUUAGAUUUUAUCUUGCAUUCUUUUUGUAAACUUGCUACAGAAUCUUCUAACGAUCGUAACGUUCUUAGAUCCUCGCUUAGACUGUCUUUUAUAUUAGAAAGGUCUUUGACUUGGUUUUGAAGAUCUAACAUUCGGGUGGUUAAGGAUAAUCGUUCGUUUUCAGCCAAUUGCAAUUCUUCCGUUGUUGAAGCCAGCUUCAAUUUACUACGACCUAAUUCUGACUCAACUUGAGAUUUAUGGUACUCCAAAUCUGCCA